AAACAAUCUCAUUGAUUCGAGCAGAGAGAGCAUAAGGAUGUUAUGCUUGAACCACUAAUCAUGGACGGUCAGCCCCUAGGCAACAACAACCGUCCUCAGUAGAAGGGAAAAAUUGAUAUGCCUAAAUACUCGAGUAGGAACAUCAGUUGAAGGAAAACAAAGACAUCUUUGGUGCCCUUACUGCAAGAAACCCGAGGCACACAAGAGAGCAGUGUUGGAAAUUAAUGGAAACCAUCAAGCCGAGAGUGGGAAACCUUGGGAGGCAGAGACCUCAAGCACACCCUUGCAGAGCAGCCCAAAUUUGAGGAAAUUCAGCAAAAGGAGGGUUUUCAACAGUGAAGAAAUUGAAAAGCUGAAAAACCCUUGGGAGCUCUUGAAAGAGCUUCGGGAGCAAUGCUCUUUGACCUCUUUCAGGUAAAACAUCAUUUCUUUUUUUGUAUGAAUGCCCAAGAAAGAAAAUUUUUGCCAACUCAUGGAUAUAGAAUUCCGGUGCCCAACAGAUCUAUACCCCUAUCAUCUACCUUUUUCAUACAACAUAACACCACCCCAUGCCCCAAGUAACCGAAAAUUACAGUGCCAAUGGUUCUUUAGCUACUGUUGCAGGGUUUCGGAGAUUACAUAUCAUCACACACCUAUCCUUAUCCUUAAAAAUGUCCUUCAUAGUACCAAAACUAUCGGCCAGCCUUGUUUCCAUUCAAAAGCUUACCCUGAUCUAAAUGUUGUGCUCUUUUUCCCCUUACUUAUUGUGUUUUUUUUCAGGAACAAGGCCGGGGAGGAGGAUUGACUUGCUAAGGAAUAAGUGGUCUUUAUUUAACCACCUUGAAUCAUCUCAGAAAGUUUAGGAGCAAAUACCCUUUGUCCUUUUCUUUAGUUUCUCGAAUAAAGAUACAAUUUGGUUAUAUCAUUUGCGUCUAGGUCAAUCCAUCUUUUAGGGUUCUAAAAGUCCAUGUUUCCUCCUCAUUGUUCCAGAGGUUCGCUAUUUUCUGAGUUUCAUUGGAUAUCCUGUGAAUUGGCCAAACAUACUCGUGCAUCUUUUUUCCUGUUAGCAAUAAAAGAAGUUCUAUCCAUCCCUUUCAUUUAAUUCAUAGUGACAUAUGGGGGACCUUCUUACUAUACCUAAUGUUUCAGGGGCUCGUUGUUUUGUAUCCGUAAUUGAUGAUUUUGCACGCGGUUACUGGCUAUUUCUCCUCAAACAAAAAUCUGAUGUUGGUAUUGUUGUACUAAGUUUCCACUCAAAUGGUUCAACCUUCAUUUUGCGUUAAAUAAAAGCUUAGGACAGACAAUGCUAGGACUCUUCAAACCAGAUUUUAUCACCCUACUUUCAAUCACAGGGUAUUAUCCAUAGUCGUCAUGUGUUACACGCCUCAACAAAAUGGGGUAGUGAGAGGAAAAAUGGGCAUUUACUUAACACCACCCAGCAUUACUAUUUUCAAGGAAAUGUUUCCUAGUCCUAUUGGGGAGAGCUGUCCCUUACUGCCACACACAUGAUAAUAGACUUGCCAUCACGGUGUUGGACAUAAAGUCCCAUAGAAAUCCUUAAUAGCUUCUACUCUCAUGUCAUAACAUCAAUGGCCUCACACCUAGGGUGUUCGGGUGUACUGCCUUUGUUUCAUGUCCACAACCACUAGAAGCAAACUAGACCCUUCGAGCCAUAAUGUGUCUUCCUUGUUACUCAUUCCACCAAAAAGGAUACAAUGGCUACAAUCCCUCAUCCAAAAAAUUUUUACAAUCUCCCGCAAAUGUCACUUUCACACAUAAAAAAAAAAAAAAAAGAAAUAUACCAUUUUUCUCUAAGUCCUCUCUUCACGGUGAGAAUUCAAUGAUGAAGAUAGUCCCCUUGUGAGACCUUUGAACACUCAAAACACUUGACCUUCCUUGUGGUUCCAACCCUAUUGUUGACCCUGAAUCCCAGUCCUUAGAACAAGUCACAUCAGAGUCACCCAAGUCUCCCAUUGUAAACGAGUCAUCUCAAGUGUAUUUCAAGGAGAAAGGCCGUUCCAGAACUGACUACGCAAGUCCAAUAGUCAACUCCGACCUUGAGAAAUAGAUCACUGUAAGAUCUGAUCCAACUUUCACACACAACCUGUUGAAGAGAACAUCUAGUGACCCAACAUAUGACCUUCCCUUUGCUAUAGAAAAAGUAACCAAGAAUUACUAAACGACCACUCUAAUCCAGUUAUCUCACUAUGUCUCUCUUGAGCGCUUGUCACCAACCCACAAAAGGUUUAUUAUGAUUCUAACCACCAUGUCUGUUCUAAUACUAUUUUUUGAGUGCAUUCUCAAAAGGGAAUGGAGGGAUGCUAUGAGAGAGGAGAUAGUGCAUUGGCAAAGAAUAAAUUGGAGACUGUUUGUAACGCCGAGGGAAAAACUGUUGUUGUAAGUGGAUUUUCACAACAAAAUAUAAGGCUAUGGAUCCCUUGCGAAGAUUACAGCACGAUUGGUGGCCAAAGGAUACACGUUCCAACCUACGGGGUUGAUUACCAAGAGACGUUUGCUCCGUUGGCAAAAAUGAAUACUGUGAGAAUCUUGUUAUCAUUGGCUGCUCACCUAAACUGGCCACUUCUACAAUAUGAUGUUACAGAAUGCGUUUCUUCCGGGACUUAGAUGAUAAAUCUACAUGACAUCCACCAGGUCCUCAGAGGAAACACAGGUAACAAGGUGUGCAAGUUGAGAAAGGCCCUUUAUGGAUUUGAAGCAAUCUCUAGGCUGGUUUGGGAGAUUUUGCAAAGGUCAUGAAGAAGUCUGGGUAUAAACAAAGUCAAGGGGACCACACUCUCUUCAUCAAGCAUUCGACUUGCAAAAAGGGGGAGUACCUGCUUCUUCUAGUUUUAUGUGGAUGACAUCAUAGUGCUGGGAAUGAUAAAGAGAGAAGCAUGAAUUAAGCAGAGGCUGGUAAGAAUUUGAGAUAAAGGACUAGGGAACUAAAUACUUUCUUGGUAUUGAGGUGGCAUAUUCUACACAAGGGAUCUUCAUAGCUCAGCAGAGUUAUGUGACUGCUUUUAUUGGCAGAACAGGGAAAGGUGGGUGUAACCAGUCUCUACUUCCAUGGAUCCAACCUAGUUGGGAGAAGCUAAAGAAGAACCCGGCUGUUUGACACAAGAAUGUACCAGAGGUGGUUGGUAGAUUGAUAUAGCUUGCUCACACCUCGGCCAGACAUGCAUACUCGGUGAGCGUGAUUAGUCAUUCAUGCAUUAUCCAAGAGAAACCUCAUCUCAAGCGCCUUACAUGGUGUUGCAUUACUUGAAGGCAAAGCCAGGGAAAGGAAUUUUGUUCAAGAAAAAUGACAGUCUUAACUCUAGAAGCCUACCCGACGCUGACUAUGCCGGUUCCCCCCUAGUGGAUAGAAGAUCACUACAGUACUUUUCCUUGGGAGGUCACCUAGUAAACGUGGAGGAGCAGAAGCAGAACGUGGUGGCAAGAUCUCUGCAGAAUCCAAUUUAGGGCUAUCAGCUCAUGAUUGUGUGUGUGAACUACUAUGCCUGAAGAUUAUUUGGAUAUUUGCUAGUCAAAUGGGAAGGUCCCAUGAAACUUUAUUGUGACAACAAGUCGGCUAUCAUAUUGCUCAUAAUCCUAUUCAACCGAUAGGACAAAGCAUAUUGAAAUUGAUAGACAAUUUCAAUUAAGGAAAAACUGGACGGAAGGAUUAGUGUGCAUGUGCAUGUUCCAUCAGAACGUCAUUAGCUGAUUGUUCUAACAAAGGGCCUUGAACAGUUUCAAGUUUUCACGAUCUUGUAUUUCAAGCUGGGAUGGAGACCAUCUAUUCCUCAAGCUUGAGGGGGCGUUGUCAAAGUGUAGAUAUUCGAUAGGAGAAUUUGUUUCACUUUCCUUAAAUUAAGGUUUGAUAUAGAUUAGUGCAGCAUUAGAGUUGAAAUUCUUAUUCAACUUUCCUUAGUCACUUUGGAAUCCUGAAUUUUCUCUGAUUUACCUUUUUCUUUUUUUCUUUUGUAAGUCUUCUAUAUAUUAACCGUGUAUCAUCAAUGUUAAGAUGUGAAGAGAAAGAAAUACAGAAUUUUUUUUCAUCCCUUGUUUGUGACAGUUAGCUUACUUGGGUCAAGCCACUCAAUUUUUUUACAUGGUGGUACUGUAGUUCCAUAUUUUUGAAAAAAGAAGAGGGCAUCAAGGUAAUCUUGCUCUUAUCGUUCAUCCUCUUGGUAAAGCCAAUUAGGCACGUUUUCAAAUGUAUAGUAAGUACCAUUAAAGUUCAGUUCCUCAUGAUUAGAGGUCAGGAGAGUGGGGGAUCUCGGUUGCCGUGGUUGGCUUCGGAUUUGUAGAAGGAAUGUUAAGUUGUGUCAAGUUGAUAGUAGAUGAUGGGGAACGGCGGAGUAGGGAUGACCAUUUGCCCCUAAAAUUGAUACCCGUCGGGCCCGCCCGUUUGGCAGAUUUAAAAAAAAAAUUAAAACCCGAUUAACUAAUCGACGGCGGGAGGCGGGGGCGGGUUUAGCCUCCUCCCACCCCGAACCCACCCCGAUUAACCCGAUUAUAUAUAAAAAUUAAAAAUUUCCAUAUUUUUUUUAAAAAUAUACCAAAUCCGUUACAUAUAGAUAGAUAUAUUAAUACCAAUAAUUAUAUAAAAAAAAUAGAAGUAAUUAACCAAAUUAUUAAACAGGGCGGGGGUGGGGGAGGCUGACUCGCCCGUUGCCAUCCCUAAGCGGAGGUGGUUAAGGGGGCAGGGGAGGGGUUGGAGAGGGGUAGGGCUGGAAAAAAAAGGAACACAUCAACAAAAUCGAAAUGAACUUUCGGCUUUCUGUCGGUUUUCAGCCCCACCGGUCGGUCAACUUAGGUCCACGAGUUUUCUAAAGUUUGGGAACGUUUGGUAAUGUUUUUACUUUUUUAUUUUUUGUGUUUGUUUUAUUCUUGUUUCGUUUUGUUUAACUUUUUAUAAAAUAGAAACUAAAAAUAUAUUUGUGUUCAUCUUUUUUUUAAACUAUUUAAAAAUAAAAAUAUAUGUGUGUUCAUAUUUUUUUAAACUAUUUAAAAAAAAUAGCAGUGGUGGUGAUGGA
rnacentral:lncRNA from 1 species